UAAGUACCCUCAAGAAAAAGGACAAAAUCACCAACAUCUUCAAUGGGAGAAAAUCCUUUAUCGGCUGAUUCAUUUCCAUGUUUUGUUUCUGCAGGAGACGGGAUAUCCUAGAGGAUUUCAGAAUCUCAACAGAAAUGUCAGCAGCAUCAGCAACAGAGUAAAGGUGCUUGAUAGCAAGACAGCAAAAGAAAUCGUGGAUGUCGGUUCAGCACCGUGAUGCUCGUACCGUCCACUGGAGCAGUUUGAAGAAAGACUUUCAUUAACAUACUUACACAGCAGUUGGCAUGCUUCCGGUGGCACAAUCAGGAUUCAAGGCAGAGCGCUUAAUGCCAAAGGGUAUUUCAUUGACACUCUCAGCACCAGAAUCUUCAAGGACUUCACCCCAGGCACAACGAUACUGAAGCAAAUGAACGUUUAGAGUGUUCUGAUAAAGAACGAUGGGUUUUUGUUGUUGUUGUUGUUUUGUUUUGUGUUUUUGUUUUGUUUUGUUUUUCCUUUUAAAUUAAACUCUCCAACUCAA
rnacentral:lncRNA from 1 species